UGCGUAGGCGGGUCUUUAAGUCAGGGGUGAAAUCCUGGAGCUCAACUCCAGAACUGCCUUUGAUACUGAAGAUCUUGAGUUCGGGAGAGGUGAGUGGAACUGCGAGUGUAGAGGUGAAAUUCGUAGAUAUUCGCAAGAGCACCAGUGGCGAAGGCGGCUCACUGGCCCGAUACUGACGCUGAGGCACGAAAGCGUGGGGAGCAAAC
rnacentral:rRNA from 1 species